rnacentral:lncRNA from 1 species
CUCUCCCCUGACAGUCUACUACUAACCUCAGACCACUCUCCCCUGACAGUCUACUACUAACCCCAGACCACUCUCCCCGACAGUCUGAUGCCUAACCAGAAACCCAGAAGACAGAGACAUGACCUGUGACCUUCUCCAGGGCACACGCUACAAUCAUGACCUAUGACCUUCUCCAGGGCAGACAUUAUGAUGGCCCUACCUAAGAGCAUUAUCAAUCUCAUUCACUAAGGUUUCCAGUGCCAUAACGAGUGUCUAAUUCAAAGAAGUGGUGGAAACACGAAAUGCUAUGCCUGUCAAAUGAUUGGCACCCUUUAUAAAGAUGAGCAAAAAAGACUGUAUCAGAACACUGCAAACUGGCUCUAACCAGAACGGAAAGAGGAUUGGGAGGCUCGGUGCACAACUGAGCAAGAGGACAAGUACAUUAGAGUGUCUAGUUUGAGAAACAGACACCUCACAAGUCCUCAACUGGCAGCUUCAUUAAAUAGUACCCAUAAAACACCAUUCUCAACGUCAACAGUGAAGAGGCGACUCCGGGAUGCUGGCCUUCUAGGCAGAGUUGCAAAGAAAAAGCCAUAUCUCAGACUGGCCAAGAAUACUAAAAGAUUAAGAUGGGCAAAAGAACAUAGAUACUGGACAGAUGAACUCUGCCUAGAAGGAACUAUUUCAGAUUUAAGUAUAACUGAUGCCUUUAGUGAGAGGUCUAAUGCUUUCAUUUGUAUUUUUUCCUUCAUUUAACUAGGCAAGUCAGUUAAGAACAAAUUCUUGACGGCCUAGGAACAGUGGGUCAACUGCCUUGUUCAGGGGCAGAACGACAGAUUUUUACCUUGUCAGAUCGGGGAUUCGAUUUUGCAACCUUUCGGUUGCUAGUCCAACACUAACCACUAGGCUACCUGACGCCUCAAUUGGAAUUUGUUCUUAACUGACUUGCAUAGUAAAAUAAAUGUAAAAAAAAUAUAUAAAUAGGCUCUUUUAAUUUUGUCUGGCUUGCCAUUCCAAAUAAAAUGUAAUAUUUUUUGUUUAAAUAAGUUAAAAAGCAGGUCACUAGGUGUAGGCAAAAUCAUAAGCAAAUAGGUCAACUGUGAUA